rnacentral:RNase_P_RNA from 1 species
GAAGAAAUAAGCCUAGGGACGGAUUUUUCCGUUACGGCGACUGAAAGGACUAAGUCUUUGGAUAUGCCUGAUUAGGUCUGAAAGUGCCACAGUGACGUAGUUCUUCUGGAAACAGAAGAAGUGGAACGCGGUAAACCCCUCAAGCUAGCAACCCAAACUUUGGUCGGGGCAUGGAGUGCGUGGAAGCGAACAUAGCACUCUGACUGGAAACAGUAGACAGAUGAUUAUCGAAGGAAAUGGUACCUAGUCAUUUCCGGAACAAAACAUGGCUUAUAGAA